rnacentral:rRNA from 1 species
AGUGAACGCUGGCGGUAGGCCUAACACAUGCAAGUCGAACGGCAGCACAGUAAGAGCUUGCUCUUACGGGUGGCGAGUGGCGGACGGGUGAGGAAUACAUCGGAAUCUACUUUUUCGUGGGGGAUAACGUAGGGAAACUUACGCUAAUACCGCAUACGACCUACGGGUGAAAGCAGGGGAUCUUCGGACCUUGCGCGAUUGAAUGAGCCGAUGUCGGAUUAGUUAGUUGGCGGGGUAAAGGCCCACCAAGGCGACGAUCCGUAGCUGGUCUGAGAGGAUGAUCAGCCACACUGGAACUGAGACACGGUCCAGACUCCUACGGGAGGCAGCAGUGGGGAAUAUUGUACAAUGGGCGCAAGCCUGAUCCAGCCAUACCGCGUGGGUGAAGAAGGCCUUCGGGUUGUAAAGCCCUUUUGUUGGGAAAGAAAAGCAGCAGGUUAAUACCCCGCUGUUCUGACGGUACCCAAAGAAUAAGCACCGGCUAACUUCGUG